UCCCAUUAUUACUGAGUUUUUUCUUUUCUUGCUGUUUUUGCCUUUAGACUUAAGGCAAAAGCUGAACCUUACCUUGUUUUGUUCUUCAUUAUUUAUUGCUUUAGUAUAUUUUUCUAUAAUUGGUGUUAUCCGUUUCUAUUGAACCUUGAAACUUUUAGUUUAUUGCCAUGUUGAGCUUAUGCUUAUUUGUAAUCUUUAGUGCUAUUUUUCCAUACCCUAUUGAUGUAGUUUUGGAGUAGAAACAUGACAGGGAGAGAAAAGAAAGAAGAAAUAGAGAAAAAAAAAAAAGAAAAGAGGAAUGCAGGGAAAAAAAGGGAGAAACUAGAAAGGAAAAAACUACUUUCAAUAUCCAAAUAUGAGAAACUUCUUGAAUGAUUAUGAUAAUCAGCAUUAUAGUGCAACCCUAACCAUUCUUCUAACAAAUGGGGAAAAUCCCAUAAAUAACUCUAAACAAUAAUAGGACCUGAAUAAUGCCUCAAAGAUGAUCCUCUAUCAUUGAUUAGUAAAGCAGCGGCCUCAUCAAAAUUGUCAUGUCUUUGUCAGGGAUCUACUCAAGUAGUGCAAAGAAUUGUUGCACCAGGUUUUAGUUCUACGCUUGGUAUUCUGACAGGUUUGGAAUGUUUUUGUAUUUAUCAGGAGGCUGUGGAAGUUUUUGCUACCUUUUCAACAUCUGUUGGAUAUCAGCUGAUUGUAAUGAAAAACAUUGCAAAGAAGUUGGUGGUUCCAACUUCUCAAGGAGAAACUUAGCAUCUUCAUGAUGAGCCUAUAAUUCAGGAUUUGCUUUCUGAUCUUAGGAUUGGGGGAGUCUCACUUUAACUAACUAAAGCAACUGUUAGUAGCAAGCCUUUUUGAAUUGUAUUAAAUUAUCUUAGGUUGUCUUUAGCUUCUUUUUGAUAUUGUGAUUCUUGUAGUUAUAUGAUGAAACAGUUCCUUUUGUUAAGAUUCGUAGUUCUUUGCAUGUGCAUGAGAGAUUAGCUUGCUUGGUUAUGCACAAUGAGCCUAUUACCUUGGUUGGUGAAACUGGCAGUGGGAAGACUACACUUUUACAGAAUCUGCCAUAAGGCUAGGUCAGAAGCUUACUGUUUUGGUAUGAUGGUUGAGCAUCUCACUAGGUGCGAUGAGCAUUCAUGAAUUUCAGUAUUUAUUUGCUGAAUGACUGUUGAGAAGGCUAACAGGCUAUAAAAAUUUCAGGAAAUUGGAUGGAUAACAUGCUUUAUGUUAUUAUUACUUCAAUUUAUCUAGUCACCUCACAAUAAAAACAGCGCACAUGCAUCAAAGAAAAAUGCUAUGAUGGACAUUCCGCAAAGAGUCAGGAUUUCCAUAUGUUUUAGUUAUGACAGCUGAAUUCUACUUAAUAUUUUGAGGUACAACAUAAUUAAAAUGGAAGCAAUCAAUCUUCUAAUUCUGGAUGAGUGUCAUCAUGCUGUGAAGAAACAUCCAUAUUCACUGGUGAUGUCUGAAUUUUAUCAUACAACGCCAAAGGAGAAGAGACCUUUUGUUUUCGGGAUGACUGCUUCUCCUGUUAACUUUAAGGGUAUGUUUUUAUUGUCUUGUAGUGGAUUUUUCUUCCAAUUUAUAUAUAUAUAUUUUUAGACCAGGGAACAUCUCACUUAACAAAAUUCUUUCAGUUGAUCGUAAGAUAUUUUUCCCCUUAACAUAUAUCUUUGAAUUGUUACAUUAAGUUGUUUCCAGUCAAGUUGAUUGUGCAAUAAAGAUUUGUAAUCUAGAAAGCAAGUUGGAUUCUGUAGUCUGUACGAUAAAAGACCGCAAGGAAGUUGAGAAACAUGUGCCUAUGCCCUCAGAAGUUGUGAUAGAGUAUGAUAAAGCAGCUAGUUUAUGGUCCUUUCAUGAACAAAUAAAACAACUGCAAGUGGCAGUUAAAAAAGCUGCACGGUCAAGCUCUAGAAGAAGUAAAUGGCAGCUCAUGGGAGCCAUGGAUGCAGGAGCAAAGGAAGAGCUUUGCCAAGUUUACGGUGAAAAAAAUCUUUCAUCAAUGGUAGUGUUUCAAGUUUCAACGGUCAUUUUUAUACUUUUAAAUGUCUACUUAAUGUAUUGAAAUAAUUUGAAUAUUAUUGUAUUAAAUUUUGUGAUU